rnacentral:rRNA from 1 species
UACGUAGGUGGCAAGCGUUAUCCGGAUUUAUUGGGCGUAAAGGGAACGCAGGCGGUCUUUUAAGUCUGAUGUGAAAUCCUUCGGCUUAACCGGAGUAGUGCAUUGGAAACUGGGAGACUUGAGUGCAGAAGAGGAGAGUGGAACUCCAUGUGUAGCGGUGAAAUGCGUAGAUAUAUGGAAGAACACCAGUGGCGAAAGCGGCUCUCUGGUCUGUAACUGACGCUGAGGUUCGAAAGCGUGGGUAGCAAACAGG